rnacentral:rRNA from 2 species
GGUUAAGCGACUAAGCGUACACGGUGGAUGCCCUGGCAGUCAGAGGCGAUGAAGGGCGUGCUAAUCUGCGAUAAGCGCCGGUAAGGUGAUAUGAACCGUUAUAACCGGCGAUACCCGAAUGGGGAAACCCAGUGUGACUCGUCACACUAUCAUUAACUGAAUCCAUAGGUUAAUGAGGCGAACCGGGGGAACUGAAACAUCUAAGUACCCCGAGGAAAAGAAAUCAACCGAGAUUCCCCCAGUAGCGGCGAGCGAACGGGGAGGAGCCCAGAGCCUGAAUCAGCAUGUGUGUUAGUGGAAGCGUCUGGAAAGGCGCGCGAUACAGGGUGACAGCCCCGUACACAAAAGCGCAUGUGCUGUGAGCUCGAUGAGUAGGGCGGGACACGUGGUAUCCUGUCUGAAUAUGGGGGGACCAUCCUCCAAGGCUAAAUACUCCUGACUGACCGAUAGUGAACCAGUACCGUGAGGGAAAGGCGAAAAGAACCCCGGCGAGGGGAGUGAAAAAGAACCUGAAACCGUGUACGUACAAGCAGUGGGAGCACAGGUUUACCUGUGUGACUGCGUACCUUUUGUAUAAUGGGUCAGCGACUUAUAUUCUGUAGCAAGGUUAACCGAAUAGGGGAGCCGCAGGGAAACCGAGUCUUAAUUGGGCGUUAAGUUGCAGGGUAUAGACCCGAAACCCGGUGAUCUAGCCAUGGGCAGGUUGAAGGUUGGGUAACACUAACUGGAGGACCGAACCGACUAAUGUUGAAAAAUUAGCGGAUGACCUGUGGCUGGGGGUGAAAGGCCAAUCAAACCGGGAGAUAGCUGGUUCUCCCCGAAAGCUAUUUAGGUAGCGCCUCGUGAAUUCAUCUCCGGGGGUAGAGCACUGUUUCGGCUAGGGGGCCAUCCCGGCUUACCAACCCGAUGCAAACUGCGAAUACCGGAGAAUGUUAUCACGGGAGACACACGGCGGGUGCUAACGUCCGUCGUGAAGAGGGAAACAACCCAGACCGCCAGCUAAGGUCCCAAAGUCAUGGUUAAGUGGGAAACGAUGUGGGAAGGCCCAGACAGCCAGGAUGUUGGCUUAGAAGCAGCCAUCAUUUAAAGAAAGCGUAAUAGCUCACUGGUCGAGUCGGCCUGCGCGGAAGAUGUAACGGGGCUAAACCAUGCACCGAAGCUGCGGCAGCGACGCUGAUGCGUUGUUGGGUAGGGGAGCGUUCUGUAAGCCUGUGAAGGUGUGUCGUGAGGCAUGCUGGAGGUAUCAGAAGUGCGAAUGCUGACAUAAGUAACGAUAAAGCGGGUGAAAAGCCCGCUCGCCGGAAGACCAAGGGUUCCUGUCCAACGUUAAUCGGGGCAGGGUGAGUCGACCCCUAAGGCGAGGCCGAAAGGCGUAGUCGAUGGGAAACGGGUUAAUAUUCCCGUACUUGGUGUUACUGCGAAGGGGGGACGGAGAAGGCUAUGUUGGCCGGGCGACGGUUGUCCCGGUUUAAGCGUGUAGGUGUGUGUUCCAGGUAAAUCCGGUUCACUUUAACACUGAGGCGUGAUGACGAGGCACUACGGUGCUGAAGCAACAAAUGCCCUGCUUCCAGGAAAAGCCUCUAAGCAUCAGGUAACAUCAAAUCGUACCCCAAACCGACACAGGUGGUCAGGUAGAGAAUACCAAGGCGCUUGAGAGAACUCGGGUGAAGGAACUAGGCAAAAUGGUGCCGUAACUUCGGGAGAAGGCACGCUGACACGUAGGUGAAGUGAUUUACUCACGGAGCUGAAGUCAGUCGAAGAUACCAGCUGGCUGCAACUGUUUAUUAAAAACACAGCACUGUGCAAACACGAAAGUGGACGUAUACGGUGUGACGCCUGCCCGGUGCCGGAAGGUUAAUUGAUGGGGUCAGCGCAAGCGAAGCUCCUGAUCGAAGCCCCGGUAAACGGCGGCCGUAACUAUAACGGUCCUAAGGUAGCGAAAUUCCUUGUCGGGUAAGUUCCGACCUGCACGAAUGGCGUAAUGAUGGCCAGGCUGUCUCCACCCGAGACUCAGUGAAAUUGAACUCGCUGUGAAGAUGCAGUGUACCCGCGGCAAGACGGAAAGACCCCGUGAACCUUUACUAUAGCUUGACACUGAACAUUGAGCCUUGAUGUGUAGGAUAGGUGGGAGGCUUUGAAGUGUGGACGCCAGUCUGCAUGGAGCCGACCUUGAAAUACCACCCUUUAAUGUUUGAUGUUCUAACGUGGACCCGUAAUCCGGGUUGCGGACAGUGUCUGGUGGGUAGUUUGACUGGGGCGGUCUCCUCCUAAAGAGUAACGGAGGAGCACGAAGGUUGGCUAAUCCUGGUCGGACAUCAGGAGGUUAGUGCAAUGGCAUAAGCCAGCUUGACUGCGAGCGUGACGGCGCGAGCAGGUGCGAAAGCAGGUCAUAGUGAUCCGGUGGUUCUGAAUGGAAGGGCCAUCGCUCAACGGAUAAAAGGUACUCCGGGGAUAACAGGCUGAUACCGCCCAAGAGUUCAUAUCGACGGCGGUGUUUGGCACCUCGAUGUCGGCUCAUCACAUCCUGGGGCUGAAGUAGGUCCCAAGGGUAUGGCUGUUCGCCAUUUAAAGUGGUACGCGAGCUGGGUUUAGAACGUCGUGAGACAGUUCGGUCCCUAUCUGCCGUGGGCGCUGGAGAACUGAGGGGGGCUGCUCCUAGUACGAGAGGACCGGAGUGGACGCAUCACUGGUGUUCGGGUUGUCAUGCCAAUGGCACUGCCCGGUAGCUAAAUGCGGAAGAGAUAAGUGCUGAAAGCAUCUAAGCACGAAACUUGCCCCGAGAUGAGUUCUCCCUGAGACUUUAAGUCUCCUGAAGGAACGUUGAAGACGACGACGUUGAUAGGCCGGGUGUGUAAGCGCAGCGAUGCGUUGAGCUAACCGGUACUAAUGAACCGUGAGGCUUAACCUU